rnacentral:rRNA from 1 species
GACGAACGCUGGCGGCGUGCUUAACACAUGCAAGUCGAACGAUGAAGCCGGAGCUUGCUCUGGUGAAUUAGUGGCGAACGGGUCAGUAACACGUGAGUAACCUGCCCUUGACUCUGGGAUAACUGCUAGAAAUGGUAGCUAAUACCGGAUACGACCCUCGGAGGCAUCUCCAGGGGGUGGAAAGAAUUUCGGUCAAGGAUGGACUCGCGGCCGAUCAGCUAGUUGGUGAGGUAACGGCUCACCAAGGCGACGACGGGUAGCCGGCCGGAGAGGUUGACCGGGCACACUGGGACUGAGACACGGCCCAGACUCCUACGGGAGGCAGCAGUGGGGAAUAUUGCACAAUGGGCGCAAGCCUGAUGCAGCAACGCCGCGUGAGGGAUGACGGCCUUCGGGUUGUAAACCUCUUUUAGUAGGGAAGAAGCGAAAGUGACGGUACCUGCAGAAAAAGCACCGGCUAACUACGUGCCAGCCGCCGCCGUAA